AGUGCUUAGCCGUGUAAAUCUCUUGGGC
rnacentral:piRNA from 1 species